rnacentral:rRNA from 1 species
GCGAGGAAUAUUGCGCAAUGGAGGCAACUCUGACGCAGUAACGCCGCGUGCGGGAAGAAGGCUUUCGAGUUGUAAACCGCUUUUUCAGGGGACGAGUGAGGACGGUACCCUGGGAAUAAGUCUCGGCUAACUACGUGCCAGCAGCCGCGGUAAAACGUAGGAGGCGAGCGUUAUCCGGAUUCACUGGGCGUAAAGCGCAUGUAGGUGGUUCGUUAAGUCGAGUGUGAAAGCCUCCGGCUCAACUGGGGGAGGACACUCGAAACUGGGGGACUGGAGGGUUCGAGAGGGAGGUGGAAUUCCCGGUGUAGCGGUGGAAUGCGUAGAGAUCGGGAGGAACACCCGUGGCGAAAGCGACCUCCUGGCGGACCUCUGACACUGAGAUGCGAAAGCGUGGGGAGCAAACGGGAUUAGAAACCCCGGUAGUCC